ensembl:lncRNA
CACAUGCUCUUCACCAUUUUCCAUUUCCCUGGUUUCUUGAGGUGACAUCUGCAUAGGUCUCCAGAAGCCCUCGGAGGCUCCUCUGUCUUCUGGUCGUCAGCCUGCCUUCCCUUCUGGUGCAGGAGGUGCCCGCUCUUUCAGAAGCUGACUCUGAAGGAGCCCAGAGGGACGUCUGUUUCAGCAGUAUGUGGGAUGCUGCCUCAGCAUGGCUUGAUGAGCGGUGCAUAGGUCCGCGCCCAGGAUCCAGACCGGCAAACCUGGGGCUGCUGAAACAGAGCACAUGAACUUGACCACUUGGCAUGGGGCCGGCCCCUAUACGUGUUUUUAGUUCUCUUUUAUGUAGCAAGGAUCAGGACUGCAAGAUCAGAUGAUAAAUUUCUGCCCUAACGUAUGAAAUGUGUAUACUCUUAACCACUGAUGCUCAGUGGUGAGGCUGGAGUUGAGAAGACGGGGCUGUGGUCACGAAGCCUGCACUUCUGCCCAGAUAGACUUUCGGAGGAGGGAGACAGGAAGGAGACAGAGGAGGAGGUGGUGAGCCAGGGCCCCUGGUCUUCCCUCAGGGCUGCAGCCAGAGAGAGAGAGGUCUCAAAUACCUGGAGGGACACGGGGCAGAGGGCCCCUUCCUGGCUUCCCAUCUGGGGACAUCUCCUGGAGGCUCUGGGAGGGGCCUCUUGGCCAACCUGGAGGGUAACCAUGUGAAAAUGAAUUCAGAGAGGUGGUCAGAGGUGGUCAGAGCCUUCCUCUGUUCUCCGAAGCCCGAGCCAGGAGUGGGAGCCUGUGAGGUGGCAGGGGCUUGAGUGAGUGCCUCCUGGCUGCAGGUGGCUCCCUGCCUGCACCCUUACUGGUCCCGCAGCCCUGCCCCACUCAGCAGGCAGAGCAGAGCAGGCCUGAGCCGUGUGAGGCUCUGGCAUGUCUCCAUCGGGACCUCCCAAAGGCUUCCCACGAGCCAGGACGAAGCAUCAGAACCUCACCAUGGUGAACGAGGCCCACGACCUGGGCCUCUUCGUGCUGCCCCGUGCUGUACUUUGUCCUCUGAGCACCAGCACGUAGCCCUUUUCUUCCCUAGACGAGCUCUGCUCUGCCCCGUCUCAGGCCUUGCACCUGAUGGGUGCACCUGUGGUAGUGGUGGUGAUGAGAAUGAUGUGAUGAGGAAGGUGAUGGUGGUGGUGGUGAUGAUGAUGAUGGCAGUAGUGGUGGUGACAAGAGUGAUGAUAGUGAUGAUGAAGGUGGUGGGGAUGAUGGUGAUGGUGCUGUUUUAAAGAACGUUGAGAUCCAGGGAGAACUAAAGGAAAUGGAAAAUAAAACCCAACCUUUCUACAGUGCUUUCACCUAUGUUUUCUCAUUUCACCUUCCUAACAAUCCUGUGAAAUGUGUAUUAUUACCAUUCCCGUUUUAGAGGAGGAACUUGAAACCAAAGUGAUUUCUCAACCAUUGGCAAGCAAAGCAGGUGGUAAGCAUUUAGUCCACUCUUUACGUGGAAGUAUUUUUACGUGAAAAUAUUUUUGUGGCAUAUAUUAGGCAUUAAACAGAUUUGAAAAACAUAGCCAAUUUCUUGAGCUUAAAAUAAAAUCCUUCAUGCCGUGUUAUUGUUAAGUGUAUUAGAAAGAAUGAGUUGAUCUGUAUUAACUUGGAGAGAGUCCUAAUUUGUUGUUGUUGUUCUUGUUGCCUUAGGAGGGAGAUGAAGAUGCAGAUAAAUGGAUGCAGUAGGUUCCAUUUUCAUUAAACGAAUGUUGAACAUAUUGGCCUCUGGCUUCCAGUUUCUUCUGGCUGUGCUGCUCAGUUUCAGAGAUCGGCAGGUGGAAGGAGAGAGAGGUUGGGGUUACCCCCCACACCGGUCCCUUCCCUCCUCGCUUAGCCCUCGAUCAGGCAGGUGACCCCAGCUCCCGUGGCAGCCCCUCUGCCUCGGCUGUG